CGGACUGGUGGCGACCGGCGCACGGGUGCGUAACGCGUAUGCAAUCUACCUUAUACUGGAGGAUAGCCCGAGGAAACUCGGAUUAAUAUUCCAUAGUAUCUAGAAGUGGCAUCACUUUCAGAUUAAAGAUUUAUUGGUAUAAGAUGAGCAUGCGUCUGAUUAGUUAGUUGGUAAGGUAACGGCUUACCAAGACGAUGAUCAGUAGGGGUUCUGAGAGGAUGAUCCCCCACACUGGUACUGAGAUACGGACCAGACUUC
rnacentral:rRNA from 1 species